rnacentral:rRNA from 1 species
UGGGUAGUCUUGUGAAACUUGAUCGUGCUGGGGAUAGAGCAUUGCAACUAUUGCUCUUGGACGAAGAAUCCCUAGUAAGUACAAGUCACUAGCUUGUGCUGAUUACGUCCCUGCCCUUUGUACACACCGCCCGUCGCUACUACCGAUUGAAUGGCUUAGUGAGGCCCUCGGAUUGAGGCUCGGAGUUUGGCAACAGACUCUUGGUUUUGAAAAGUUGGUCAAACUUGGUCAUUUAGAGGAAGUAAAAGUCGUAACAAGGUUUCCGUAGGUGAACCUGCGGAAGGAUCAUU